rnacentral:rRNA from 1 species
GAUCCUGGCUCAGGAUGAACGCUAGCUACGGGCUUAACACAUGCAAGUCGAGGGGCAGCAUGGUCUUAGCUUGCUAAGGCCGAUGGCGACCGGCGCACGGGUGAGUAACACGUAUCCAACCUGCCGUCUACUCUUGGGCAGCCCUCUGAAAGGAAGAUUAAUACAAGAUGGCAUCAUGAGUCCGCAUGUUCACAUGAUUAAAGGUAUUCCGGUAGACGAUGGGG